UGAACUAGGUUUAAAUCAAAUUCACCUUGGUAGUAACAAAAAUAGAGUAAACCAAGUAAAAUAAAUUCACGUUGAAUUUAGUUUCCCUCGCUAUCAUGUUCUUCAAAUUUUAAUGAUGUUACUUAGGACGUGGGGGAAGUUAUUU